rnacentral:rRNA from 1 species
CCUACGGGGGGCUGCAGUGGGGAAUAUUGGACAAUGGGCGAAAGCCUGAUCCAGCCAUGCCGCGUGUGUGAAGAAGGCCUUCGGGUUGUAAAGCACUUUCAGUGGGGAAGAAAGCCUUGGGGCUAAUACCCUCGAGGAAGGACAUCACCCACAGAAGAAGCACCGGCUAACUCCGUGCCAGCAGCCGCGGUAAUACGGGGGGUGCGAGCGUUAAUCGGAAUUACUGGGCGUAAAGCGCGCGUAGGCGGUCUGAUAAGCCGGUUGUGAAAGCCCCGGGCUCAACCUGGGAACGGCAUCCGGAACUGUCAGGCUAGAGUGCAGGAGAGGAAGGUAGAAUUCCCGGUGUAGCGGUGAAAUGCGUAGAGAUCGGGAGGAAUACCAGUGGCGAAGGCGGUCUUCUGGACUGACACUGACGCUGAGGUGCGAAAGCGUGGGUAGCAAACAGGAUUAGAUACCCGGGUAGUC